UCCUGUUUAUCCUGCAGGAGGUUGCUGCUUUCAGAAUCCCGCUUAGGCAUGCAAGUCUAGGGGCCUUCGGGUCACUGGCGAAAUGCUCAGUAACACGUCGAUAAUCUUCCUUUGAGCCUGGAAUAACCUUGGGAAACUGAGGCUAAUACCGGAUAAGGAAAAACAACUGGAAUGUGUUUUUCCUCAAAGCUUCGGCACUCAAAGAUGAGUCGGCGGCCCAUCAGGUUGUUGGUGAGGUAAUGGCUCACCAAGCCUACGACGGGUAAGGGCCUUGAGAGAGGUUGCCCUGAGAGGGACACUUAGAUACUGGUCCCAGCCCUACGGGGUGCAGCAGCUAGGAAAACUUUACAAUGCACGAAAGUGUGAUAAGGGGAUUCUGAGUGCUCAAGCACAGCUUGGGCUUUUGCCAAGAGUAAAGAUCUUGGCGAAUAAGUGGUGGGCAAGACUGGUGCCAGCCGCCGCGGUAACACCAGCGCCACAAGUGGGAACCGUUAUUAUUGGGUCUAAAGCAUCCGUAGCCUGUCCAGUAAAUCUCCUGUGAAAUCGGCCAGCUUAACUGGUCGGCGUGCAGGAAAGACUGCUAGACUAGAGACCAGGAGAGGUUAAAGGUAUUCUGUGGGGAGCGGUAAAAUGCUAUAAUCCACAGAGGACCACCGAUGGCGAAGGCAUUUGACCAGAAUGGAUCUGACGGUGAGGGAUGAAAGCCAGGGGAGCGAUCCGGAUUAGAUACCCGAGUAGUCCUGGCUGUAAACGCUGCGUGCUAGAUGUUGCACAAUCCCCGAGAUUGUGCAGUGUCGAAACGAAGGUGAUAAGCACGCCACCUGGGGAGUACGGUCGCAAGGCUGAAACUUAAAGGAAUUGGCGGGGAGGCACUACAACGGGUGCGGCGUGCGGUUUAAUCGAAUUCGACGCCGAGAAUCUUACCGGGGGCGACGGCAGAAUGAAGGUCAGUCUGAAGGGCUUACCAGACGAGCCGAGAGGUGUUGCAUGGCCGCCGUCAGCUCGUGCCGUGAGGUGUCCUGUUAAGUCAGGCAACGAGCGAGACCUAUAUCUGUAUUUGCUAACGUGCCAGCAAUGGUGAGCGAGCACAAUAUGGAAACUGCCUUGGAAACAAGGAGGAAGGUGUAGGCCACGGUAGGUCUGUAUGGCCCGAAUCUCCCGGGAUACACGCGCGCAACAAUGAUAGGGACAAAGGGAUGCAACUCUGAAAAGAGAAGCCAAGCCUCAAAACCCUACCUUAGUAUAGAUUGAGGAUUGAAACUCAUCCUCAUGACAAUGGAAUCCGUAGUAAUCGGAGUUUAUCACACUCCGGUGAAUAUGUCCCUGCCUCUUGCACACACCGCCCGUCAAACCAACCGAGCAGGCUUUAGAUGAGCUUCAUUGAGUAAAUGGAUCAAAUCUAAGGUCAGUGAGGUGGGUUAAGUCGUCACAAGGUA
rnacentral:rRNA from 1 species